GUGCUCACUUUGGCUAGCACACAUAGUAAAUUGGAAUGAUACAGAGAAGAUUAGCCUGGCCCCUGCAUAAUUAUGACACACAAAUUCAUGAAGUGUUUCAUAUUAUU